UACGUAGGGUGCAAGCGUUGUCCGGAAUUAUUGGGCGUAAAGGGCUCGUAGGCGGUCCGUCACGUCGGGAGUGAAAACUUGGGGCUUAACCCCAAGCCUGCUUCCGAUACGGGCGGACUAGAGGUAGGCAGGGGAGAACGGAAUUCCUGGUGUAGCGGUGAAAUGCGCAGAUAUCAGGAGGAACACCGGUGGCGAAGGCGGUUCUCUGGGCCUUAACUGACGCUGAGGAGCGAAAGCGUGGGGAGCGAACAGG
rnacentral:rRNA from 1 species